rnacentral:rRNA from 1 species
GAGACAGCAGCCGCCGCGGUAAUACGUAGGGUGCAAGCGUUAAUCGGAAUUACUGGGCGUAAAGCGUGCGUAGGUGGUGGUUUAAGUCCGUUGUGAAAGCCCUGGGCUCAACCUGGGAAUUGCAGUGGAUACUGGGUCACUAGAGUGUGGUAGAGGAUAGUGGAAUUUCCGGUGUAGCAGUGAAAUGCGUAGAGAUCGGAAGGAACAUCUGUGGCGAAGGCGACUAUCUGGGCCAACACUGACACUGAGGCACGAAAGCGUGGGGAGCAAACAGGAUUAGAUACCCGCGUAGUCCCUGUCUCUUAUAC